UACAGAGGUCUCAAGCGUUGUUCGGAAUCACUGGGCGUAAAGGGUGUGUAGGCGGCGUGAAAAGUCAGAUGUGAAAUCCGGGGGCUCAACCCCCGAAAUGCAUCCGAUACUGUCAUGCUGGAGGUCUGUAGAGGGGUCUGGAAUUCUCGGUGUAGCAGUGAAAUGCGUAGAUAUCGAGAGGAACACCAGUUGCGAAAGCGAGACCCUGGGCAGAAACUGACGCUGAAACACGAAGGCCAGGGUAGCGAACGGG
rnacentral:rRNA from 1 species